rnacentral:rRNA from 1 species
GACGAGCGCUGGCGGCGUGCUUAAUACAUGCAAGUCGAACGGACAGGCCCUGAUUUUGUGGGGUGCUCGAGUGGCGAACGGGUGAGUAAAACGUGUGUAACCUGCCCUUGACUUUGGGAUAACAUCAGGAAAAUGGGGCUAAUACCCGAUAGGAGAUCCUGAUGCACGGUGGGGGUUGGAAAGUUUCGGCGGUUGGGGAUAGACUCGCGGCUUAUCAGCUUGUUGGUGGAGUAGUGGCUGACCAAGGCUUUGACGGGUAGCCGGCCUUGGAGGGUGACCGGGCACAUUGGGACUGAGAGACGGCGCAGACGCCUACGGUAGGCAGCAGUGGGGAGUAUGGCACAGUGGGCGGAAGCGUGAUGCAGCGACGCCGCGAGCGUGAUGACGUCCUUCGGGUUAUAAACCGCUGUCGCCUGAGACGAAGCGUGAGUGACGGUAAUGGGUAAGGAAGCACCGGCUAACUACGUG